ensembl:lncRNA
AUCCUACUUACCAGUGCUUAAAAGGUGACUCUACUUUAGAUUGAACAAACUUCCUUAAUUUGUGAUUUUCUACUUAUGCAUCCCAACUUAUCAAGUGGGGGCAUCUCGUACCGCACCCAUUAUAACACUCCUCUGCAAUGUAUUUGCCCAAAUCAGCGCACUCAAACUCCUACGGAAAUUAACCAACAGCAUGAGCUGGCUUGGAAAAAGUCUGCCUUGCUGUGAAAGAAGACAUUACCCCACCAGAACUAUAACCCUCAUGGCUUUCUUUUUUUCAUUAUUUACUUUUUAAUGGAAGCAAACCCCCCUGUCAUCUCACCUACUCCUCUUUUAAUAAGGAAUGACUGCCGUGACUACCCCCAUCUAGAACCACCAUUCACUGCCAGCACCUCUGCUCUCCUCGUGUGCUUAGAGAAUAACUGAUUAGCACUUUGCAUAAUUAACCUGAUUAGCACUGUGCAUAAUCAAACUGAUUAGCACUUUGCAUAAUUAAAAAGAAAUAAUAAUAAUAACAAUAAUAAGCAGUAGGUAAUAGCAAAAGCUGCUAGUCCCUAUGCCUGUUCGUUAGCUGUAGGAUUAGUUUAGUGCAGCAUAUUUUAUUUCUUAAAACUAUUUCUUUUUAAAGAUGCACAAGCUCCCGAGAAACACAAGUUAAAAAAUUCUCAUUUACUUUCAAAAUCACUAGUGAAAACAUUGGUCGUUCCACUAGUACAACUUAGGCUUCCUUGUACCUUCCUCUGCUGCAGCCAAAGACCUCUAACAGGAUGAUGCCCGAGAAGAUGGACUACCCAUCCCGACAUCUGUCUACAGCACUGCUUUUGGAUUCAUUAUCACAGGAUACAGAAUCUCACAUCUUUAAAAGCAUAUAUGCUCACAAGGGUAGGAGAGAUAUAUUAUUGUUAUUGUCAAGAUGGGCAAGGUAGUAAGACACAUAUCCUCAAAAGUACGUUGGUACAGAACUCUCUCCUGCCCUGAACAACUACUCCAGACCACAGGAAGUCUGGAGAGGAACAUGGAAUUAAUCAGAUUCCUGCCCCUAAGCCUGCAGCAAUCUUCCCCCAUUUGAGCGUUAUUCUUGUGCGUAUGCAUAUUUCGCAACCUGUUCCAAGAAUGUGAGAGACAGAAUGUACUUCCUUUGACUGCUAACCCUUCCUAUCUCCAGUGUAAAUCUCCCAUUUAGGGUUUCAGGAUUAACAACCACCUCCCAAGAUCUGAAGAACCUGCAUAGCUGCACCUAGCUAGACUGCAAACUGUGUGAAAACAUCAAUGCUAAAUGUCUGCAUCACUAGGGACUCAGUUCUGGACAUUCAAUGCCAGACAGCCUAGAAGAGCAGUGUCCCAAGUGAGUGGGUAAACCAGUGUGACCUCAUCCCUCCUAGUCACCAUGAUACCCUCUGUUUCUGCUCACUUUAUUAACUUCAUCUCUCUCUAGCAUCCCAAUGUUAAAGCUCUGAUUUUCCUUGCAUUCCCCACAGAGCAAUCUUCAUCUUACGUUUUCUAUUAUACCUUCAAGAGCACCUGAAAUAUUCACUGCCAACCCUCUGACAUCCCCUUACAAUAACCUUGCCAACAUUUCCCAGUGGGUAGCAGACACACAUUAUGGCUCCUCUGCUGUCUGCUCAGCCAGUACAGUUCGGACACUGGGCAACUGGGGAGUCAGUUUGUUCUGAGCGAUCACUCUGCCUGCCCUGCAGCUGUCCAGACAGCAACUGCUGCUGCCAGACGCUGCAUGGACCUCUCCUAGAACAGUGACAAAAACGUUCCCACUGUGCCAGAGCUUCUCUCACAGAACAAGCUGAUGAGAAACUGUGGGGGGAAAGAGCAAUGAAAGAGAAACUUGUCAUAAUCAGCUGGAAAUUUAUUACCCAUGCACAGAGGCCUCUCCAUCACCCCAAGCUAAAGAAACCCAUACGAGCAGCAAAGGGUGCAGACCUAGUCACUCAUUUCACAAGUUGCUUGGUUUCAGAAGAAAAGUGUUGCUGUACAGAUUUUUCAAGUCCAAAUGUUCCUGGGGAAGGUAGUUCCAGUAAUUCUGGGAAGGAAGCCAAUCCCUUGGCUUUAUAUGUAAAUAUUUAAACAACAUUAUUUUUAUAUACAUAUCUUUUCUACACAUAUACAUAUAUGUCUUUAGACUUCCAGACUUGCAAAACUGCAACGGAAAAAAAUAUGCCAGCCAACAUACAGCUAUAGGCCUUCUUGCCUGAACGAUGAUAAUUGACCAUCAGAAACAAAACACAACAAUGACUUC